rnacentral:lncRNA from 1 species
GUGCUGUGGUUCUGGCUCUCCUCGGACGAUCCGUGGGUGUGCAAGAAAGCCCUGCAGGUCUGCGCCCAGCUGCUGGAGGACUGCAGAGAUGGAGUGGCUUUUCAGGUGAGGAAGGAUGCCCAGCGUGUGCCCCCAGCUGCAAGGGGGCCUGGCAGGGCAGCUCUGCCCAGCUGUGCACGGGCUGUGGGGUCCCCCAGCGCAGCGCUCUGGGGUGGCCCCUGUGCCCAGUCCUGGCCUGAGCAGGGCGCAGCUGGGAGACGCAAGGGAGUGCUGGGGCCACCUCCAGCCCUUGUUCUUCCUCUCGCCCCUGCAGACAAGAGGUGCCUACCUGCCGUUUGGCACCUUGGCGGGAUUGCUGGGGCCUCUGACCUGUGAGCCCACGAGCAGCUCCCGCCAGCUGGCCGCUGCCUGCCUCAGCUCCCUUCUCCACAUCCAAGGUGAGUGUGAGUAGAGCAGGCGCCUGCCGGCCCUCUGCCCCGCCUGGCCCUAGCGGGAACCUGGCAAGGGCCAUCCCGCUGCAGCGAGUUCAAGACUGACUCCCCUGGCCUUCAGCAAAGGCUGGGAAGGGAAGUUCAGUUGCCCUAAGUGGGACUCCCCUUUUCUCCCCGUGCUCGUUGCAGCCAAGGCCACGAACAGGCUGUUGGAGACAGACGACCCUGCGAGCUUGUGUGAGGGGCUGAGUGCUCGCAGCGACGCCUCUCAGCAGCUCCAGACCUCCAUCCGCAUCGCAGAGGUAAGGAGUGCCCUCAAGCUUGCCUUAUGUUCUGAAGAGCUGGAGCGGAGCCGUGACGGGCUCUCGAUCUCUCCUGGUUCUUGCAUCUUUCCAGGUCGUUUGCAAAAACGUCCCCAAAGAACAGGCCGCAGACUUCAUGAAUGCCAUCCUGGGGCCCUUCCGGCAUUCCAGAGGAAGGCGUGUGUGUGCUGCAGGCAACUGGAUGCUCACCUUUCUGGAAGCGUGUGGCAAGGACAUUGGUCCAGACGUAAGAGACAUUUUGCCAUGCCUUGGACUUUUUUGCUUUGGCUGUCGCACCACACAUCUUGCCGUUUGUGUGCUAAAGAAGCUCUCGGUGCAGAGUCAGGGCUCGGGCAGGGUGCUAGGGGUGAAAUUUCGCCUUCGAGCGUGAAAGCGUGGCAAGGGAGCAGGCGUGGCUCAUGGGCUGAACGUCCAUGUUCCCGUGCCAAGACGUUCUUUCUCCCCUGCUUCUUUCAGGUGCGAGGAAUCGUCUCCGCCCUGCACACCUGCACAGAGUCCAUGCUGGAGCCCUCGUUCGUGUACUUUGUGCAGCAAGCGGUGCUGAUCCUGGCCCGCCAUCACCGGGAGCUCACGAUAAACGUCAUCCUUGAGAAGUUUGUGCCUCUGGACAGAAACACACUGGAGCUGUGGAGGACUCUGGGGAGAGCCAGCAUUGGCCUCGGUGUGCUGAAGCACUUAGCGAGGAAGCUGAACAGAGUGGGAGACGACAGCUGCCAGCCCAGCUCGCCCACUCGCAGGCUGCACGCCCACCAGCCUUCUCCGGAGUCCUUGACUGUACGUUCGGUGGCAGAGGCUUUGUGCCUGCUCCCCCACUCCCAGUCCGAGGGCAAGGCGUUGGGUGCCCUUUGCAAGCGUCUCUGCUGCAGUGUCUCAGCAGUAGCAGUUCGGGACGGCCGGGACAGCCGCUGCUCCCAGGCUGCAAGGCUGUCCCGGAGACGGGGUGUGCAGGCAGUAGAAGUGCCCCAGGCAGCCAGCGGGCCGGGGCUGGUGGCAAAGCUCUUGUUUAACAGGUGCUUGUCGGGUGCUCUCAUUUCCCUGCAGGUCACCCGUGCCAUCUCCGUAAUGGUGUCCGUGCAGUACAAGGAGGGGGUCCAGUGCUUGCUUCCCUCCCUCCUCCCUGGGCUCCUGCUGCAGCUCAGCAAGGCACUGGGGGAAGAGAUGCUGUCUGCGCCCCUCAGCCCCUGGAGAGGGCACGCUGAGGAUCAGCGGCAAGAGGGCAACGUGUGCAGGUCAG